AUUGAACGCUGGCGGCAUGCUUUACACAUGCAAGUCGAACGGUAACAGGCCUUCGGGUGCUGACGAGUGGCGAACGGGUGAGUAAUGCAUCGGAACGUGCCCAGAGGUGGGGGAUAACGCAGCGAAAGCUGUGCUAAUACCGCAUGUGAUCUGAGGAUGAAAGCGGGGGACCAAGCAGCAAUGUUUGGCCUCGCGCCUCUGGAGCGGCCGAUGUCAGAUUAGGUAGUUGGUGGGGUAAAGGCCUACCAAGCCGACGAUCUGUAGCUGGUCUGAGAGGACGACCAGCCACACUGGGACUGAGACACGGCCCAGACUCCUACGGGAGGCAGCAGUGGGGAAUUUUGGACAAUGGGCGCAAGCCUGAUCCAGCAAUGCCGCGUGCGGGAAGAAGGCCCUCGGGUUGUAAACCGCUUUUGUACGGAACGAAAAGGCUCUGGCUAAUACCUGGGGCUGAUGACGGUACCGUAAGAAUAAGCACCGGCUAACUACGUG
rnacentral:rRNA from 1 species